UAUUUCAAAACCCACUAAACUGGUGAUAACCAAUGACUGUAAAGUGUUAAUGAUCUCUAAGAUUGAAGUCUCAGAGUCUGUCAAGCAACAGGGUAUGGACAUGGCAAAACAGCUGUCAGGAAGCUACAAUGCACCAACGAUGACUAUUGCUGAGGUGGAAGGAAAACCUGAGGGGACAGUAUUCACCUUAACGGCUGAAGUCACAGAUAUAGACGAUGCCAUCCUGGUUUAAACCAUGUCUAACGCUGAGAUAUAUGUCAGAAACGGUUAUCUCGGUGACAGUACAUCAGGUAUAGCAUUUGCCUUCUGGAGGAAUUUGACAGAGACAGAGCUAAAAGUUGGAGAUACUGUUCACAUUGCCAACGCAGUACGUUCAGUUACAUCUGAUGGUCAGCCUAAAUUAACAGGAGGAAAGUACACAACUGUUACGAAGCUUGAUGUCUCACCAUUCACAUCUGUCAUUAGACCAAAACAAACAGGAUCAAAAACAGCAAGUGUCAUAGGAUUAUCAUCCUUCAAGAAAUAUGAAAGCUGUCCAAACAAAACUUGUUUUGGAAAAAAGCUACUUAACAACACAUGCCCAAACUGCAAAAAAAAACAUACCAUGAAAAAGAAUCCACGAUGUCGGUAGUUUGCAGUGUUAUGCUAGAGGAUGAUGAACAUAACUUUGAUCAAGUCAGUUUGUUCACCAAACAGGUCACAGAGAUUAAAGUUUCUUCCCUUGACUAAACCAAAAGUGAACAGUCAUUGCAAGAAGACUUUGUGAAGUGCCUGUCUUGCAAAAUAAACUACACAAAGAGCCCCAAACAAGACAGCACUAUUGUGAAGUUGAGAAAAUGUUGACUUCCUGAACCACAGAGGAACUAUAACUGUUCUUGUUGACAAUUACCAAUUAAAAAAAACAACAUUAUACUUUAUAACUUCCACUGGAAAUUCCUUCAACUGAUUCGUAAAAAAGCUUACAGCCUUAGUUACCUACUGAUUGCGAAUAUAUCAUUUUGUUAUAAAUCUUUCUGAGAAAAUCUCGAUACAUGUUUGUGACUUUGCGUUAGUUUUUUUUUGCUUGUUCAGUUUUAUGUAUAAUAUGUAUAUAUAUUCUUUGUUGGUUUCUCAUGAAAAUGUAAAAUGUUAAUUUGUUUUCUUUUAUUUGUGUUUUAUUUUUUUUCAUUAUUUUC